CCUACGGGGGGCAGCAGUAGGGAAUCUUCGGCAAUGGACGGAAGUCUGACCGAGCAACGCCGCGUGAGUGAAGAAGGUUUUCGGAUCGUAAAGCUCUGUUGUAAGAGAAGAACGAGUGUGAGAGUGGAAAGUUCACACUGUGACGGUAUCUUACCAGAAAGGGACGGCUAACUACGUGCCAGCAGCCGCGGUAAUACGUAGGUCCCGAGCGUUGUCCGGAUUUAUUGGGCGUAAAGCGAGCGCAGGCGGUUAGAUAAGUCUGAAGUUAAAGGCUGUGGCUUAACCAUAGUACGCUUUGGAAACUGUUUAACUUGAGUGCAAGAGGGGAGAGUGGAAUUCCAUGUGUAGCGGUGAAAUGCGUAGAUAUAUGGAGGAACACCGGUGGCGAAAGCGGCUCUCUGGCUUGUAACUGACGCUGAGGCUCGAAAGCGUGGGGAGCAAACAGGAUUAGAUACCCUUGUAGUC
rnacentral:rRNA from 1 species